ensembl:snoRNA
AUUUUACAUAGCGCUGCAGAUGUGGCUGCUGUGUCACAUUUGUGUUAUUAGGUGGCAGAGAGAAGAGAGGCUAUGUCUAUGCUCAGUGUUCUGCCCCAUGAACAUUUGAAUGUUUCAUAGUCAGACACU